rnacentral:rRNA from 1 species
GGGCGUUAAGUUGCAGGGUAUAGACCCGAAACCCGGUGAUCUAGCCAUGGGCAGGUUGAAGGUUGGGUAACACUAACUGGAGGACCGAACCGACUAAUGUUGAAAAAUUAGCGGAUGACCUGUGGCUGGGGGUGAAAGGCCAAUCAAACCGGGAGAUAGCUGGUUCUCCCCGAAAGCUAUUUAGGUAGCGCCUCGUGAAUUCAUCUCCGGGGGUAGAGCACUGUUUCGGCUAGGGGGCCAUCCCGGCUUACCAACCCGAUGCAAACUGCGAAUACCGGAGAAUGUUAUCACGGGAGACACACGGCGGGUGCUAACGUCCGUCGUGAAGAGGGAAACAACCCAGACCGCCAGCUAAGGUCCCAAAGUCAUGGUUAAGUGGGAAACGAUGUGGGAAGGCCCAGACAGCCAGGAUGUUGGCUUAGAAGCAGCCAUCAUUUAAAGAAAGCGUAAUAGCUCACUGGUCGAGUCGGCCUGCGCGGAAGAUGUAACGGGGCUAAACCAUGCACCGAAGCUGCGGCAGCGACACUGUGUGUUGUUGGGUAGGGGAGCGUUCUGUAAGCCUGUGAAGGUGGCCUGUGAGGGUUGCUGGAGGUAUCAGAAGUGCGAAUGCUGACAUAAGUAACGAUAAAGCGGGUGAAAAGCCCGCUCGCCGG